ensembl:snRNA U1 U1 spliceosomal RNA
AUACUUACCUGUCAGGGAACAAACCACGAUUCCAAAGGUGGUUUUUCCAAGGCUAAGCUCAUCCACUGCACUCCAGGUGUGCUGACCCUUGCAAUUUCCCCAAAUGCUGGAAACUUGACUGCAUGAUUUGUAGUAGUAGAGCCUGUGUUCAUGUUUUCCCCUG